UUUAUUUCCGUUUUUAUAUUUGUGUACCUGUGUGGCGAGUCCGAUCCAGGUGAUCUGCUUUCCUUCGGUACCUCUCCUGUGAAUUCAACAGCAUGUCAGACUGGGCAGGGGAAGUGUAGUAUCAUGGAGGCUUGUUCUUGGGUCCCAGGUUCGAUUCCUGUGCAGUUGUGUGUGGAGUCUGCAUUCAUCUGAGUUGUCUCCAGGUGCUCCAGUUUCCUGACAGCUCUGAACUGGUGCCUGUAAAGUGCUGCUGUGUGUGUGUCAUCGAGUCAAGAUGCAGGGGUGAGAGAACCUGCAGAGUAGCUCAGUCCACAGGCUGAUUGUGAAACAUGGUGUACGACGUGGCCAGAGCAGACACUGCAGGGCUGAGACAGGACUGGUGGAGUCAGUGGACAAUGGGUGGCAACAGAAACUUGCUGUGCAUAUUCUACCCUCUGGAAUCAGUCCAGAAAUGACAGACAAGAUGCAUUCCUGGUGUAUAAGGAAUGUCUCACAUUGACAGGCUGACGGAUCUGAGCUUUUUAAGUGCUGAAAGGAGAAGAUUACAACAAGACUCGACUCUACAUAAUCCUCAAAGCUUUGACAAAGUCAGCCCAACAGACUUCUUCAGGGCACACAUGGAAACUACAGGGACGUACAGUUAGAACUGAGAGCAGGAGGCAGUUCUUUACAUAAAGGGUGCUGGUAGCAUGGAACAAUCAACCCAGCCAUGCUGUUGAUGCUGAUGUCUGGGUUUUCUUCCAGGAAACAGCUGUGAGAUCCUUAGAUUAAUUAGCUACAAGCAACCAGGCAGGAUAUGUGUGCAAAACAGCCUCAUCUCAUUUGCAACCUUUACGAUGUGUUUUAAAUUUCUAAAUAAUAAAAUAAACAUACAUCAAUGUCA